AAAGAAACCAACAGGGAUUGCCUCAGUAACGGCGAGUGAAGCGGCAACAGCUCAAAUUUGAAAUCUGGCCCUUUCAGGGUCCGAGUUGUAAUUUGCAGAGGGUGCUUUGGUGUCGGCCGUGGUCUAAGUUCCUUGGAACAGGACGUCACAGAGGGUGAGAAUCCCGUACGUGGCCGCCGGUCUUCACCGUGUAAAGCCCCUUCGACGAGUCGAGUUGUUUGGGAAUGCAGCUCUAAAUGGGAGAUACAUUUCUUCUAAAGCUAAAUAUUGGCCAGAGACCGAUAGCGCACAAGUAGAGUGAUCGAAAGAUGAAAAGCACUUUGGAAAGAGAGUCAAAAAGCACGUGAAAUUGUUGAAAGGGAAGCGCUUGCAGCCAGACGUGCCCGCAGUUGCUCACCUAGGCUUUUGCCUGGGGCAUUCUUCUGCGGGCAGGCCAGCAUCAGUUCGGACGGUUGGAUAAAGGCCUCUGUCACGUAUCUUCCUUCGGGAUGACCUUAUAGGGGAGGCGCAACACGACCAGUCUGAACUGAGGACCGCGCAUCAGCUAGGAUGCUGGCGUAAUGGCUGUAAGCGGCCCGUCUU
rnacentral:rRNA from 1 species